UGGCGCCAGACUACUACAUGCAGUCGAACGAACUCUGGUAUUGAUUGGUGCUUGCAUCAUGAUUUACAUUUGAGUGAGUGGCGAACUGGUGAGUAACACGUGGGAAACCUGCCCAGAAGCGGGGGAUAACACCUGGAAACAGAUGCUAAUACCGCAUAACAACUUGGACCGCAUGGUCCGAGUUUGAAAGAUGGCUUCGGCUAUCACUUUUGGAUGGUCCCGCGGCGUAUUAGCUAGAUGGUGGGGUAACGGCUCACCAUGGCAAUGAUACGUAGCCGACCUGAGAGGGUAAUCGGCCACAUUGGGACUGAGACACGGCCCAAACUCCUACGGGAGGCAGCAGUAGGGAAUCUUCCACAAUGGACGAAAGUCUGAUGGAGCAACGCCGCGUGAGUGAAGAAGGGUUUCGGCUCGUAAAACUCUGUUGUUAAAGAAGAACAUAUCUGAGAGUAACUGUUCAGGUAUUGACGGUAUUUAACCAGAAAGCCACGGCUAACUACGUGCCAGCAGCCGCGGUAAUACGUAGGUGGCAAGCGUUGUCCGGAUUUAUUGGGCGUAAAGCGAGCGCAGGCGGUUUUUUAAGUCUGAUGUGAAAGCCUUCGGCUCAACCGAAGAAGUGCAUCGGAAACUGGGAGACUUGAGUGCAGAAGAGGACAGUGGAACUCCAUGUGUAGCGGUGAAAUGCGUAGAUAUAUGGAAGAACACCAGUGGCGAAGGCGGCUGUCUGGUCUGUAACUGACGCUGAGGCUCGAAAGUAUGGGUAGCAAACAGGAUUAGAUACCCUGGUAGUCCAUACCGUAAACGAUGAAUGCUAAGUGUUGGAGGGUUUCCGCCCUUCAGUGCUGCAGCUAACGCAUUAAGCAUUCCGCCUGGGGAGUACGGCCGCAAGGCUGAAACUCAAAGGAAUUGACGGGGGCCCGCACAAGCGGUGGAGCAUGUGGUUUAAUUCGAAGCUACGCGAAGAACCUUACCAGGUCUUGACAUACUAUGCAAAUCUAAGAGAUUAGACGUUCCCUUCGGGGACAUGGAUACAGGUGGUGCAUGAUUGUCGUCAGCUCGUGUCGUGAGAUGUGGGUUUAAGUCCCGCAACGAGCGCCACCCUUA
rnacentral:rRNA from 2 species